GAAGGUAUAGCUCAGGGGUAGAGCACGUGCUUGGCAUGCUGCAGGAGGUCUUGGGCUCAAUCCCCGGUCCCUCCA
rnacentral:tRNA from 1 species